rnacentral:misc_RNA from 1 species
AUUUUUGGAGCUGUAUAAUGAGGAAAUAUCUGAUCUUUUAGCUCCAGAGGAAUGUUCAAAGUUUACAGAUGACAAAUCCAAGAAACCAUUAGCUCUGAUGGAAGAUGGUAAAGGUGGAGUUUUUGUUAGAGGCCUGGAAGAGGAGUUAGUAAGCUCUGCAAAUGAAAUCUAUAAUAUCUUGGAGAAAGGUUCCGCUAAAAGGCGUACAGCUGAAACUCUG